rnacentral:rRNA from 1 species
AUUGAACGCUGGCGGCAUGCCUUACACAUGCAAGUCGAACGGUAACAGGUCUUCGGAUGCUGACGAGUGGCGAACGGGCGAGUAAUACAUCGGAACGUGCCUAGUAGUGGGGGAUAACUACUCGAAAGAGUGGCUAAUACCGCAUGAGAUCUACGGAUGAAAGCAGGGGAUCGCAAGACCUUGUGCUACUAGAGCGGCCGAUGGCAGAUUAGGUAGUUGGUGGGAUAAAAGCUUACCAAGCCGACGAUCUGUAGCUGGUCUGAGAGGACGAUCAGCCACACUGGGACUGAGACACGGCCCAGACUCCUACGGGAGGCAGCAGUGGGGAAUCUUGGACAAUGGGCGCAAGCCUGAUCCAGCAAUGCCGCGUGCAGGAUGAAGGCCUUCGGGUUGUAUACUGCUUUUGUACGGAACGAAAAGCCCUGGGUUAAUACCCUGGGGUCAUGACGGUACCGUAAGAAUAAGCACCGGCUAACUACGUGCCAGCCGCCGCAGUAAUAC